GGGGACGACAGGCUUCGACGUGGUCGGUCCGUGGAUGCAGUUGCGAGUCGAGGUCGCCGGUAGGCCUCGUAAAACAACCGGCAAAACCAUAGUUGCGGAUGAGAAUCACUCGUUCGCGCUUGCUGCCUAGUUAGAUCUAGCCAGUGAGCUAUCGGCCUCCCCUCGGCCCGUGGGGGAGAUGUCCGGUAUCAGAAACGGGCUUGCCCCCGACGUGCGUCUCUGGCGCCGGGGGGACGCAACACAGAGACUGGUCCCGAGCAACCCGGCCGGUCAGGCUAGCUCGGGACGAGAACAGAGGGCCGGCUACGCUCGUAGACGCUGUAUUCGCACGACCGCGGACGUGGGUUCGAUUCCCACCGUCUCCAUAU
rnacentral:tmRNA from 1 species